GUUCAGAAUCCAGACUCCCACCCGAUGUUGGGCUGAAUGUACUUUCCGUCAGGCUGCUCUUCCUUCUUAGUUUUUCCUACGCUACCAGAUCCACGCUGGCUCGGAGAGCUGGUGGAUCUCCUUAUCUCUACUCUAAUUCGCAAGCGUUGGUUCAGAAGGUUCAUCAGAACUGCCUGCUCAGCUCACAGGUAGGCUGUGGAUUAGCCCCUCUAAUUACCUACAGCCAAAGGCUGAGAUUCUGCAGGAAAAAAGAUUUGCCGG
rnacentral:lncRNA from 1 species